CAAUAGCGUAUAUUAAAGUUGUUGCAGUUAAAAAGCUCGUAGUUGGAUUUCUGUUCUUGGGAUCUGGUCCGCCUCACGGUGAGCACUGGAUAACUGGGGGCAUCCUCUCGAAGGCGGCAGGUGCACUUGAUUGUGUGUUUGUUGAAUUCGGGACCUUUACUUUGAAAAAAUUAGAGUGUUCAAAGCAGGCGUCGGCUUGAAUACAUUAGCAUGGAAUAAUGGAAUAGGACUUUGGUUCUAUUUUGUUGGUUUCUAGGACCGAAGUAAUGAUUAAUAGGGACAGUUGGGGGCAUUAGUAUUUAAUUGUCAGAGGUGAAAUUCUUGGAUUUAUGAAAGACUAACUACUGCGAAAGCAUUUGCCAAGGAUGUUUUCAUUAA
rnacentral:rRNA from 1 species